rnacentral:rRNA from 1 species
UACGAAGGGUGCAAGCGUUACUCGGAAUUACUGGGCGUAAAGCGUGCGUAGGUGGUUUGUUAAGUCUGUUGUGAAAGCCCCGGGCUCAACCUGGGAAUGGCAAUGGAUACUGGCAGGCUAGAGUGCGGUAGAGGGUAGUGGAAUUCCCGGUGUAGCGGUGAAAUGCGUAGAGAUCGGGAGGAACACCAGUGGCGAAGGCGGCUACCUGGACCAGCACUGACGCUGAGGCACGAAAGCGUGGGGAGCAAACAGG